rnacentral:rRNA from 1 species
GAGCAUGUGGUUUAAUUCGACGCAACGCGAAGAACCUUACCUGGCCUUGACAUGCAGAGAACUUUCCAGAGAUGGAUUGGUGCCUUCGGGAACUCUGACACAGGUGCUGCAUGGCCGUCGUCAGCUCGUGUCGUGAGAUGUUGGGUUAAGUCCCGUAACGAGCGCAACCCCUAUCCCUAGUUGCUAGCAGUUCGGCUGAGAACUCUAGGGAGACUGCCGGUGACAAACCGGAGGAAGGUGGGGAUGACGUCAGGUCAUCAUGGCCCUUACGGCCAGGGCUACACACGUGCUACAAUGGCGCGCACAGAGGGCUGCAAACCCGCGAGGGGGAGCCAAUCUCACAAAACGCGUCGUAGUCCGGAUCGCAGUCUGCAACUCGACUGCGUGAAGUCGGAAUCGCUAGUAAUCGUGAAUCAGAAUGUCACGGU